GUGAGUAACGCGUAUCCAACCUGCCCCUACCGGGAUAGCCUUGCGAAAGUUAAGAUUAAUACCCCGGUGCUGUUGCGAUCCCGCAUGGGAUGCAACGAAAGAUUCAUCGGUAGGGGAUGGGGAUGCGUCCGAUUAGCUUGUUGCGGGUAACGGCCACCAAGGCUACGAUCGGUAGGGUUCUGAGAGGAAGGUCCCCCACAUUGGAACUGAGACACGGUCCAAACUCCUACGGGAGGCAGCAGUGAGGAAUAUUGGUCAAUGGGGCGAGAGCCUGAACCAGGCCAAGUAGCGUGAAGGAUGACUGCCCUACGGGUUGUAAACUUCUUUUGUACGGGAAUAAAGUGGGCCACGGGUGGUCUUUUGCAUGUACCGUACGAAUAAGGACCGGCUAAUUCCGUGCC
rnacentral:rRNA from 1 species